rnacentral:lncRNA from 1 species
GUUGAAAAAUUUGUAGGUCUUUAUCUACGUCUAUUAUUUCAUUGAGUUCUUGAUUUUGUUCUGCAUUAGGUUGUCUUCGACAUAUUCUAGCUAAUAUAUUGUUAUUUCCUAUUCUAUUUUCUGAAAAACUCACUCUUUGUCUUUCUUCUCCUUGUCCGGUAUUAUUUUCGAAGGCUCUCCGUCGAUUUGAUAGAAAGUCCAUUUUUGCGGUUUUCGUAUUAUAUUUUUUCGUUCUUGUUUAGGAGUUAAUUCGAUUCUUUUUAAUUGGUUAACUAGUUCGUCUAUUUCUAGGUUAUUUUUUGGUUGGGUUUCUUUAUUUAUUAAGAUGUCUAUUUUCUUGUGUAGCUCGGGUAACUCUGGCUCUUUGUGGAGCAGUUUUUGAGUUUCUUUGCCUUUUAUUAAGAUAUCUAUCUUUUUGUGUAAAUCUA